AAUGAUUUUUGCCUUGAACAUAUUUUUAUCACAGCUACUACAAAACUUUUGGGUUCUAUGUCUAUCUCUUACACUUGACUCUUAAGUUCCUUGAAAGCAAAGUGGUUUUAUUUGUUCGGUAGUUUUUUUUUUUUCUUCAGUACUGGAAUUGAACCCAGGAGCAGUGAGCCCUUUUUUUUGCCAGUGCUGGAAAAGGAGAUUUAACAGGCUAUUCUUGUCUCACUAAUAAGCCUUCUUUUCUAUUUUUAAAUUUUAAGACAGAGUUUUACUAUAUUUCCUGGAUUGACCUUAGCUUGUGAUCCAGCCUCAUCCUUCUGAGAAGUUGGGAUUAUAGACAUGUGCCACAUGACCUGGAUCAAAGUCUCAACACUGCCUUCCUUACCACGGCCACCACUGUGGUUCAUGCUAUCACCAUGGACCUUGUCAAUAUUUCUGCCACCAUCUGCAGUACCAUUACUCUGACUGUCUACAGAGCCACUUGUGUCAGAACCAUUAAUAUCACUGUGCUAAGCUGAGUAACCAGGAGCUGAUCCAUGUUCCCUUAUAUGGCAGAAGGUACCUUAAGGAUCUGGAGAGUAUAGUGGAUUAUCCAAAGUGUCCGAUGUAAUCACAAGACCUUUUAACACAGUCAGAGGGAGACUGGAUUAUAGAGGCCAAAAAGGCAGUAUAAAGAUAAGAGCAAAGCCUGGAGUAAGGUGGCCACAACCCAAGGAAAGCCUACAGCCUUAGAAGCUGGAAAAGAAGAGGAAUGCACUAUCCCUUAGAAGCUCCAGAAGGAACCAGUCCUUCCCAUACUUUGAUUUGAACUUUAUAUGACUCAUUUUGGUCUUCUGACCUCCAAACCUGUAAAAGAAUAAAUAUUUUUAAGCA
rnacentral:lncRNA from 1 species